AGAUGCGCCAGGUACGAGGGCGGGUACCAGAGGAGCUGCGGGAGCGAGAGUGCGUGUGGCGGCCGCCGGGUCCUGGGAAAUUGAGAGGCUGACUGAGCGACUAGAAGAAAAAGAGAGGGAGAUGCAGCAGCUGCUGAGCCAGCCCCAACACGAGCGAGAGAAGGAAGUCGUCCUGCUACGGAGGAGCAUGGCAGAAGGGGAGCGCGCCCGGGCCGCCAGUGACGUCCUGUGCCGCUCCUUGGCCAACGAGACCCAUCAGCUGCGGAGGACGCUGACCGCCACCGCCCAUAUGUGUCAGCAUCUGGCCAAGUGUCUGGAUGAACGACAGCAUGCACAAAGGAAUGUGGGGGAGAGAAGUCCUGACCAGGUAGGCCACAGUGUAAGCAGAGUGUGGUGAAGACCCCUGUGUGCUGGGAGCAUCGCCUACAGGCCCCUGAUCACAGAGGUCGGGGGGUGCCCCAGAACGCACUUCUGUUCUCAGUAACGAGAGUCAGCUGACGGGGCAAAGCUCACUCAUCCAAGGGUUUCUUUUAAAAUGAUGGAACAUGCAAAAUGUAAUAGGAAAGCAGGCA
rnacentral:sRNA from 1 species